CCUACGGGAGGCAGCAGUGGGGAAUUUUGGACAAUGGGGGCAACCCUGAUCCAGCCAUGCCGCGUGAGUGAAGAAGGCCUUCGGGUUGUAAAGCUCUUUCGGACGGAAAGAAAUUGCCAUCUCUAACAUAGGUGGUGGAUGACGGUACCGUAAGAAGAAGCACCGGCUAACUACGUGCCAGCAGCCGCGGUAAUACGUAGGGUGCGAGCGUUAAUCGGAAUUACUGGGCGUAAAGCGUGCGCAGGCGGUUUUGUAAGACGGGGGUGAAAUCCCCGGGCUUAACCGGGAAACUGCGUUUGUGACUGCAGGGCUAGAGUGCGGCAGAGGGGGGUAGAAUUCCUGGUGUAGAAGUGAAAUGCGUAGAGAUCAGGAGGAACACCGAUGGCGAAGGCAGCCCCCUGGGUUGAAACUGACGCUCAGGCACGAAAGCGGGGGGAGCAAACAGGAUUAGAUACCCCAGUAGU
rnacentral:rRNA from 1 species